GCUUGUCCCAUCCUUGCACAGCAUGG
rnacentral:misc_RNA from 1 species